GCUUCUUCUCCACCAGAUUUGGGUUUACAUCGGCUCCAGACUAGAUAUGGGUUCACUUUUGCUCCCCUCUUAACGUUGCAGAUUUGGUUCCUUUUGCAGGUGGUAGAAAGAGAAGAGAUAGGGUUUUGCCUACCACCCUUUUUCACUUUCAGUUGCCUCUUUUUUUCCUUUUUAAGCUGCUUAUUUUUCCUCUUCAGAGCUACUUCAUUUUUCCUUUUCAGAGCUGCUCCUUCUUCCUGUUCAGAAUUGCUUCCUUUUUCCUCUCCAGAGUUGCUUCCUUUCUGCUCUUCAGAACUACUUCAUUGUUUCUCUUAUCAGUCUUUUUUUCUAUUUUCUUA
rnacentral:lncRNA from 1 species